CAAUAAACGAUUAGCAAAUGAUAUUGCCA
rnacentral:piRNA from 1 species